UACGGAGGGUGCAAGCGUUAUCCGGAUUCACUGGGGUUAAAGGGCGCGUAGGCGGCUUUGCAAGUGGCGGGUGAAAUCCCUCGGCUUAACCGAGGAACUGCCUGCCAGACUGCAAGGCUCGAGACCGGGAGAGGUGAGUGGAAUUCCCAGUGUAGCGGUGAAAUGCGUAGAUAUUGGGAGGAACACCAGUGGCGAAGGCGGCUCACUGGACCGGAACUGACGCUGAGGCGCGAAAGCGUGGGGAGCAAACAGG
rnacentral:rRNA from 1 species